UACGUAGGGUGCAAGCGUUAUUCGGAUUCACUGGGCGUAAAGGGUGCGCAGGCGGCCGUGUGUGUCAGGUGUGAAAGCCCGGAGCUUAACUCCGGAAUUGCGCCUGAAACUACAUGGCUAGAGCAUUGGAGAGGGUAGCGGAAUUCACGGUGUAGCAGUGAAAUGCGUAGAUAUCGUGAGGAACACCAGAGGCGAAGGCGGCUACCUGGACAAUUGCUGACGCUCAGGCACGAAAGCGUGGGGGAGCAAAAAGGG
rnacentral:rRNA from 1 species